AGUGAACGCUGGCGGCAGGCCUAACACAUGCAAGUCGAACGGCAGCACAGUAAGAGUUUGCUUUUACGGGUGGCGAGUGGCGGACGGGUGAGGAAUACAUCGGAAUCUACUUUUUCGUGGGGGAUAACGUAGGGAAACUUACGCUAAUACCGCAUACGACCUACGGGUGAAAGCAGGGGAUUUUUGGACCUUUUGCGAAUGAAUGAGCCGAUGUCGGAUUAGCUAGUUGGCGGGGUAAAGGCCCACCAAGGCGACGCUCCGUAGCUGGUCUGAGAGGAUGAUCAGCCACACUAGGACUGAGACACGGUCCAGACUCCUACGGGGGGCAGCAGUGGGGAAUAUUGGACAAUGGGCGCAAACUUUAUCCAGCAAUACCGGCUCGGUUAGGAAUACCUUACGGUUUUAAAGCCCUUUUGUUAGGAAAAAAAAGCAGCAGGUUAAUACCCCGCUUUGCUGACGGUACCCAAAGAAUGAGCACCGGCUAACUUCGUG
rnacentral:rRNA from 1 species